CAAAAACGGAUGCACCAAUCAGUGACACCCACGCACUAACACUAUGGAUACUUCUACCCCGGGGCAACGAUUUCGUAUCCAUUCAUGACGAUUGAAAUGUGAAGGAUAGAUCCGCGGCUGAAAAUAUUCCUAAGGAUUUGCCUUUUAAAUCCGACACCUCUUAAGAACUGGUGCCAAGUUUCCGCAUAAUAACACAGGGUGUGUACUGCGGUCCCAGUUUAGCAUUGAACUGGUCUCCUGCUGACGACUGACGGAAACUCCGUUUAAACACUCGUUGACCCACAACGAAGGUUGCGAUUGUGGUUAUGUUUGCAGCCAGCAUGGCUGUUCUGCAGUCCACCCUGGUAUUCCGGAAUAGUACAUCGAACUUCCUGUCCUCAUCCCACUGUCUGGACAUGCUGCGGAAGAUUCGGACCAUAUCCAAAUAAAAAUCCUGGAAUUUUUCCCGAGGACCUUGCCUCCGCGCAUUAGCUAGGCGUUCAUACUGAUAAUCAAUGUCUACAGAUUUCAUCACCGUACGCAAGACUCUCUCUAAUUUGCUGCGUGAUUCAUCCUUCCUGGCGAUAUCCCGAAUCAGUAAUUCAUGACACAGCUCUUCAUCGUCAAGAUGGGCAAAAUUCAACGAG